GAUGAACGCUGGCGGCGUGCCUAAUACAUGCAAGUCGAGCGAACAGACGAGGAGCUUGCUCCUCUGACGUUAGCGGCGGACGGGUGAGUAACACGUGGAUAACCUACCUAUAAGACUGGGAUAACUUCGGGAAACCGGAGCUACUACCGGAUAAUAUAUUGAACCGCAUGGUUCAAUAGUGAAAGACGGUUUUGCUGUCACUUAUAGAUGGAUCCGCGCCGCAUUAGCUAGUUGGUAAGGUAACGGCUUACCAAGGCGACGAUGCGUAGCCGACCUGAGAGGGUGAUCGGCCACACUGGAACUGAGACACGGUCCAGACUCCUACGGAAGGCAGCAGUAGGGAAUCUUCCGCAAUGGGCGAAAGCCUGACGGAGCAACGCCGCGUGAGUGAUGAAGGUCUUCGGAUCGUAAAACUCUGUUAUUAGGGAAGAACAAAUGUGUAAGUAACUAUGCACGUCUUGACGGUACCUAAUCAGAAAGCCACGGCUAACUACGUG
rnacentral:rRNA from 1 species